rnacentral:rRNA from 1 species
AUUGAACGCUGGCGGCGUGCUUAACACAUGCAAGUCGAUCGGUAACGCGGGGGCAACCCUGGCGACGAGAGGCGGACGGGUGAGGAACGCUUGGGAAUCUGCCUAUCAGCGGGGGACAACACGGGGAAACUCGUGCUAAUACCGCAUACGCUCUACGGAGGAAAGCCGGGGACCGCAAGGCCUGGCACUGAUAGAUGAGCCCAAGCCGGAUUAGCUAGUUGGCGGGGUAACGGCCCACCAAGGCGACGAUCCGUAGCUGGUCUGAGGGGACGAUCAGCCACACUGGGACUGAGACACGGCCCAGACUCCUACGGGAGGCAGCAGUGGGGAAUAUUGGACAAUGGGGGAAACCCUGAUCCAGCGACGCCGCGUGGGUAAAGAAGGCCUGCGGGUUGUAAAGCCCUUUCGGUAGGGACGAAAGCUCUCGACCUAACACGUCGGGAGGUUGACUUAACCUACAAAAGAAGCACCGGCUAACUCUGUGCCAGCCGCCGCCGUAAAAC